rnacentral:lncRNA from 1 species
AGUUUAAUCAGCGGUAUCGUUUUUGAGAGGAAAAUCCUCCCAGCUUUGCGGGCUGGCAGGGCUCUGGGGCCCUCCCCUGCCUCCCAGCCCAGGCCGCAGAGCGAGAGCGUUUCCAUCUGUGCUGCGAGCGGGAAGAGCCUCUCUGUGCUCCCCGGCACGUCCAGCGCGCGGGCGGGAACACGCUCUCCUGUGGGGGGCAGCUUUCCCAGGGACCUUGCCUAACGAGGGCCAGGCGGCUCCCCCGUGGGCCCCGAAUGGCUCCUGGCAGGCAGACCCCUAUCCCUGUCGAGAGCACUGAUUUCCCCAGCGUCGGGGGAGGCAGCCGCGCCCUCCUGGAGCGAGGCAAUCCAGCGGUCAGGCGGCGGCGAGGGCCUGCGCGUGCGCAGAAAAGAGCUGCCUCCGCGCCAGGCAAGGGGCGCGAGGGCGGAGGAUGGAGGGCGAGGGCGCAUGCGUCAGCCGUGCCGCUGGGGCCGCGUAGGAGAGCUGAGCUGCUGGGUCCUGCCGUCAGUGCAGUUUCUUGGCAGCACGUUGGGGACACUGCGCCAUGAGAACAGAGCCACAGAAUGUUAAAGGCACAGCCUCCUUCGAGGGCAUUUGCAUAAUGCCUCCCGUUUACAGAUGAGGAAAUUGAGGCCCAAAGAGGUGAUGGGAAAGGCCCAAAGCUGCAUUUCUGGCUUCUGGCAGCUGGGACCAGAUCCAGCUCGUAUUGACAUGGUUUAAGCACUUCUUCAAUGAGCACUUAUCAAAAGCCUAGAUACUGUGUACUCAGUGUCUUGAGUGGCAGCGAAAGAUAACCACGAAUACGUCAGAAGCAGUGUAGCCACGGCUGCCCUGGAUUUGGGCAUAGAAUCAGACAGACCUGGGUUUGAUAUGAUGAUUUCCAGAACCACACUACUAGUUGGAUGGCCUUAGUGAAGCAGUUAACCGCUCCAUGCCCUAGCUUUCUGGUCUGCAAAACGGAGAUAAAAAUAGGCUAGGGUCGUGGGAUUUAAAUGAGAUAAGGUGCACAUUGUUUAGCACAGUGCCUGCGCAUGGAAGGCUCUCAAAUAAAUAUUCGUGCAAUGUUUUGAGAAGUAGAAAGUGCUAGGCACGUAGGCGUUCAGGAGACAGUCACGGUACUCGUUUCCAGACAGAAGUCAUGAGGAACAAGAGGGAAGGUGCUUUCCCGUGUGCAGCGCUUGGGGAGACUCACACAGACAGAGGAUCUGGCAUGACAGGGAAAGGAGGAAAUGGCUUCUGUUAAUCUCUCCUUCAGCUUCUCCCGCCCUUCCCAUGCACUCUUCCUGUUUCCCUUUCCAGUUCUCACGGUGACUCAAGGAACAACGUGUGAAAUGAAAGACCUCAGGUGCUGUAUUGGCUCUUGACAGCUCUUCAGAAGAAAAUACCUCCUGCCUGUUCUGUUCAGUCCUGGUGCAGGUGGUCCUGGACAACACUUUGAAAAAUGCUGGGGCAGAAACAAGCCAGCAAGCAUAUGGGAUUCAUCUGCUAGAUUAGGACACAGAUGCACACAGAGGGAAGACCAUAUGAACACAGAGGGAGAAGACAGCCACCUGCAAGCCACAGAGAGAGCCCUUCAAAGAAACCAACCCUGCAGACAAUUUGAUCUCAGGUUUCUGGCCUCCAGAAUUGUGAGAAAAUAAAUUUCUGUUGUUUAAGUCACCCAGUCUGUGGUAUUUUGUUAUGGCGGCGAAGCUAACGAACACAAACAGAAGGCUGAUUUCACUUAAUAAUCAUCUCAGAAGGCAGAGAUUGCUUCAAACUAUUGCAUAAACAAGGCUGGUUUGUGAACCAAAGGACAUGAGCCCCAAACCUGGAGUCGCAGAGGCAGCAUGACAGCACAGACAGCACAGCUUCUGGUGUCAGGCAUUCCUGCACUCAAAGUCUCAAAGAACCUUCCUCCCUAGCCUUCCACCUGAGUUACUUUAGACAAGGCAGCUGUUAUUUUAUUUAACAAAUAUAUGUAUACAGUGCUUACUAUGUGCCAGAUAAUAGUCUAUGCACUGUACAAAUACUAAGUAAUCUAAUCCUCAUUAUAACCCUGUGAUAGAUA